UCAAAAGUGCAAGGAAGCAGUUCAGCGUGCAGGCCCUGUGAAUGGGGGUGCCCCGCGGGGCAGAGAAUACGCGAGUGCAAGUAAACGUCUGGAAACAGCGUGCACGCCUUGGUGGUCAGCAGGUCAGCUGGCUGGAGGAAUCUCCUGCGACUGGCAGCAUUCCAUUUGUGCCUGAUGUUCCUGUAAACUCCAGCCACAACCCCUGUGGGGAGGAGGGGCUGCUGUGGAGAAUGAGAUAUGAAGUUGAAAGCUGGCUGCGUAUAUCACUCGCGAACCUUCCAGACAACUGAAGAAUAACAAUGAAUACUGCCAUCUUCCCAGAGCUCCAGCACUAAUCUUUGUUAAGGCUUAGAGGAAACCACUUUUCUCAGUUUUGAUGUCUAUGAAUCUGCAAUCACUAAUGAAUGGGGAAAAGUCUGUGAAACAUUUAUUUCCUACAUCAAUGAUUAAAAUUAGCUGUUUUUAGAGCAGAAUGAACAACAUACAAAGCAGGUUGGACGACAUCUAUUUCACACAAUUGCAUCUCAGUUUCUGACCUAGGUAAAAUCCUGCAUAAAUGUAGGAGAAUCCUCUAUAUUAAUAUGUUCUGUAUUCAGGUUUAAGAGAUGUGCAUUUACAUUUACAUUUUAUUAAUUCAUCAACUGAUACUUAAGAAUUAAAACUCUCAAAAUCAGAAGACGAUGCUUUUUGGUAAAGAAAAAAAGAAACAGGCUAUAAGUAAAAACAGGUAUAAAAAUUAACACAAAACCUUUGAGUAAUGUAUUUAUCCUAUAAGCGGAAAAUUCUGAGAAUAAUGGAGGACUGAGGGGAUUAAAAUGCCACGCAGUAGAUGGACUAUUUCAGAUUUUAUAGUCAGGGAAACUGGCUUCGGGAGGACAGCUCUCAAUUCAUGUACUUUACGUAAGAGCAGUUCUUUCUAUAGGCCAUAAAGUUGUAGGUGAUACAAUCAACUGGGUUAUAAAAUAGCUUCUUUUUAGAAUGGAGAUGAUACAAAAAUCAAUUUCUACAACCAUCAUUUCCUCCUGAACACCUCUUUCACUUUCAACCUAAACUUACUCUCCCCUUUGGGAAUUCCCAGUGUAUUUCUUUGAGAUGUCUUCCACAUUAACAGUAGAGCCUACAAAGAACCAACAUGCAGAGGCUACUUGUCAAAGGGCACUUUCUGUAGGUAGUCUAAAAGAACACAAUUAUACACAUACACAAACGUGUACAGGUAUACGCAAAAGGGAAAAGGAGAUGCAAGAGUACUGUACUACUGCUUUAACAAAUGCUCUCACCCAAUCCACCUUAUCCAUCUUACAGGAUAGAAACACUAUUUAGGGUUUAAAAUACGCAAAAAAACAUUUUUUUUAAAUAUAUAAACCAUCUAUGGAAGCAUAUUUUGCCUUCUGUUAUGACCCUCAUCAUUCCUCAACUCAUAUUCUAAAAGCCUGAGAGGUGAAAAUCUUCUGAACAGCUGAACCACCCACAGAACCUGAAAAUUAUUAUACAUUUUGCACAUGAUUAACCUAUAUUCACCACUGAGGUUUAACCAAGAACCAGAUUCACAUAGGUAAUAGGGGUCACAACUACUUUUUCAUAAAAUAUACCCUCCUACUGGCCAGGUGAGGUGGCUCACGCCUGUAAUUCCAGCACUUCAGAUUGCUUGAGCCCAGGAAUUCAAGACCAGUCUGGGCAACAUGGCAAAACCCUGUCUCUACUAAAAAUACAAAAAUUAACUGGGUGUGGUGGCACAUGCCUGUAGUCCCAGCUACUUGGGGAGGCUGAGGUGGGAUGGCUUGAGCCUGGAAGGUGAAGGUUGCAGUGAGCCAAGAUCACGACUUUGUACUUAAGUCUGGGCAACAGAGCGAGACCCUGUCUCAAAAAAAAAAAAAAAAAAAAAAAAAAAAUCUAUGCAUCCAUCUAUCUAUACAAACACACAUCCUCCUACUUUACAUAAAUGUACAAUUCCAUGUCUAUUCUUAGCAUGUUUUCAGUUAAAAUUAGAUUACUGAUGUUUACAAGAAGCACGGUCAAAUGAUUUUUUUCAUUUUAUGUCAAUGUUUACACGCCAACCCUCCAGAAGGUUGGGACAAUGGGAAGAGGGCAUUGGACUGGAUGUAAAGCCUGAGGCCAGGGGUCUAGUUUUGUUAGGGUCUAGAUUCUCACCCCAGAAUCUUACCCCCUCAGGCAAUCACUCAAAUUGAAAUAUCACUUCUAUUGGUCCUGAUACUCUACUUCAGUAGUUAUCUUACUUCUUCCUUUGAAUGUAAACCAUUUAUAGCUAAGUAGAGUAUAUUUUAGUAUAAGAACACAGUGAAGGCUGGGUGCGGUGGCUCACACCUGUAAUCCCAGCACUUUGGGAGGCCGAGGCGGGCGGAUCACGAGGUCAAGAGCUCGAGACCAGCCUGACCAACAUAGUGAAACCCCGUCUCUACUAAAAAUAUAAAAAUUAGCUGGGCGUAGUGGCGCGCGCCUGUAAUCCCAGCUACUUGGGAGGCUGGGGCAGGAGAAUCGCUUGAACCUGGGAGGCGGAGGUUGCAGUGAGUGGAGAUCGCAACACUGCAUUCCAGCCUGGGCGACAGGGCGAGACUCCGUCUCAAAAAACAAACAAACAAAAAACACAUAGUGAAGACCAAACAAAAUUUCAUCUGUACUAAUAAUGACUCACGGUGGGCCAGAGCUCAAGUCAGUAUGUAAUAAGAAAGCAAAGGGAAAAAAAAAAUCAUUUACUUCACUAAAACUUCUGUUGUUUCUUUAAAACUCUAAACAAAAUUGACCCUAUAAGUAAAGAUAUUCAUUCUUAUCAUUUUUUAACAAGCAAAUUUUAAUAAUG